ensembl:lncRNA
GGUGAAUCAUGGAAUAAAUGAAAAUCAGAAGCCCCCGAACAAGGUAGAAGGCUUAGUGAGCCCAGCCCUAAGCAGCUAUAGCCCUUGGGACUUUUCGUUUCCCUGAACACACGAUCCUGUGGUGAUGGACAGUCAGGAUUCCCCAGGGGGUUACUGGACCCUAAGACACCUUCCCAGUUGAGGUCAGAGCCCCGAUGGACCAAGUCGUUCCCCAAGAUGGCUCCUGUUUGGGUGGAUAUCUUUGGGGAAAAGACUGAUCUGAAAAGAAGCCUGGUUGAGCUGAAAAUGCUCCAGCAUUUUUAUUUAUUAAAAACUUUUAUUUAAACCUUUUAUAUUUACUUUGGCCACAUCAUGCAACAUGUAGGAUCUUAGUUUCCUGACCUGGGAUCAAAUCCUACAUUGGCAGCUCGUAGUCGUAGCCAUGGGACUGCUAGGGAAGUUCCCAAGACUUGCUAUUUCAUGCAUUUGUUGCUGUGUGACCGGCUACCUCAAAACGUACAGGGGAACAAGCUGGAUUGUUUCCUCUCCUAGCCUCCUCCUAGCCAUGACAGCCUCCAGCGUGGACCUUAACAACAUUCCUCCUGCUCCCAGCACCACAAGGAGGCCUCACAAGUAUCAUAAAGCCCAAAUCAGAACCCAACAUCAAAGUCAGACCUUGGAGAGAAAGUCAGGGCUAUACCAGGGACAGCAGAAGAGUGACGGGGAGCUUCCUGCAUCCCCAACCCCAUCCCCUGGUAAGUUCCAGAAGAACUGGCUUGAAGCUGGCUCCAGGCUCCCUGGGCUUAUAGAGCCCACAACCUUGCCCCAGUGGGUUCGGGGCACUAUUGACCCCUCAGCCCACAUCAAGGUGGAGCCCAGCCAACCAGGCUGACCCAUGGCGGACCCACCAUCCCUCCUGGGCCAAACAGGCUGCACAAGUUUCACGCGCUUGCCUCCUACGGAGCCCCACCCCCACUCGCCAUGCCAAGCACUCAGAACACCGCUGAGCCCUAAGGAGACUCAGCCACACGAGAGAACCGCCUCCUCGUCGCUCGCUCUUGUGGGCCAAACACAGCGUUAGGCAUGGGGAUGAGGCGGGGCCAGACCAUAGGGGACAACUGUGGCCGAAUCCCACUUCUGCACGGCUCAAAGGUCCAGAAGCUGCCAAACAGGCAGACUGACCCCGACUCGCCCCUCCCCGGGGGUCCCCGGCUGGCCACAGGUCUCGGGUCUCCAUCGUUGGGGGCGCUGUGCCUCCUCUCCUGAGGGUCCCGGGUCAGAGCCUUUUCCACCCUGGGCGUGGUUUAGUCAUUUUCUGGAGAGGGUUGGCUGAGUGGACCCUCCCAGCACGGCCAUGAGAAGCCUUAUUCCCUGACCACCCAAACCUGGUGAUGCAAACUCCCCAUCUCACACAGCACACACGCACAAAACCAGGACAAAAUAAAUCAGGUCUUACCUGAGUCCAUGCUGCCUACGUCUCCUUUCCUCUCUCAGCAACCUAGUCCCCCUGCCGCUCUCUGGAACUUGUCCAGGCGGCCCCCAGCUAAAGACGCUUCUUAGUGGUUGCCAUGCACAGCCCUGACCUCUGACCUCUGCCUUGCUGGUUGUUUGCAUAUGCUCUCCAUGUCCUUCCCAACCUCCUUCACCUGGCCAUCUCCAUCUUUUCCUCCUAAG